UACAUCGGUUGAACAUCGGCUACUCUGUUUUUAGCAAAACAAUAUCGGUGAAACGUUUUGUGUCUGUUGGCCGAUGAAUGGUCAAACAGACAUUCAGCCGACGUUCAGCCGAUGUUCAGCCAAUUUGGUUCUGUUUUUUAUUUGAAUGAUAAAAAACCGAAUAUGUUGAAUUUUAAAAGUGGCAGCAAAUCUAUCUAACUGAAGGCAAAAUUUUUUAAUGCAUAGGAAAGUUAAUUCGUUUACCUGUUAAAUUAAUAUUAUUUAAUAAUAUUAAUUGGUAUUUAUAAAUAAUAACAUUACUUUUUAUUUACAAAUAGUUAUUUGAAUUUUAUUUGAAUAGUUAUAUAAAUUUAUAAAUCAUUAAAGUUUAAGAUAUAAAAAUAUUAGAUAAUAAUAUCAAUAUACUAGGUAAACAGUAAUUUGUUUUGAUAACAGUUAAAAAAUACUUAAACUGUGAGCAUACAGUUUGUGAUUUAUGUUUAAUUAAAAAAUUGUUCAUUUUUAAGUUAAACAUUAAAUGAUAUUAAUUAGUUCAUUAACUCAAAACUUGUUAAAUAAGUAAACAAUUAUGAGUCUUUAACGAUUUUAAAUUACCUCAUUAAAUUUUAAAGAUUGAACAUAAAUUGUGAACAUCAUUCAGAUAGAAAUGUUAAAGAUAUAAAAGUUCAAUUCAAUACAAGUUACUAGUUAUAUAAACCAAUUCAAUAUUUUAAUGAUGGCAUCAAAUCGUUCUGAUAGGAGAAGAGCAAGUUAUGAAUUGUCAACUUUUUUUUCUUCAAUACGUGGGGCUGUUGAAUGCAAAGAAGUAAACAAUGAUUAAGAUACAAAUGAUUUUGGCAGUGCACAUCCUGAUUCAAAUUGCCCAAAUGCUACACACAGUGAAUUAUCGGUUAAAAAAAAAACUUUGGAAUUUCACCCGAUUCAAUUUAUUUGAUGAUUCAACUGAUUCAGAAUAAUUUAUUUAAAAGAAAUAUAUAAUUUUGUUUUA